AUCUCUAUCUGGAGAUCAAUCCUCUUGGAGCCCUUCUGUGAGUCUAGGACACAGGAAGUGAUAUUCCUGAGAUGAUGAAUGGAUGUGGCUAGUUGCAGAUUUUAGAGGCUUCAGCGCAGAUCAGGUUUGCUGCAGAGAACCUGGUAACCUGGUUUAUAUCUUUCUCUGGUGGUUUAAGACUUCUAGAGCUUCUGGUCACUAGCAGCUGCAACAGCUGUUGGGACAAGAUGGCAGAAAGAAUUGCUGCUAACACUAAAGCAAACAGCAGUUCUGCUAUGAAUGAGAAGGACUGAGGACCCUCAGGCAAUCAAUUCUGGCACCAUAAUCCUGCUGGGAUGGUGUCUCUUACUUCCUUUAUUUUUUCAUCAUACUUUCUACAUUAUGGAACUGCGGUGUACAAACAGUCAGCCCCAGGCCUACCCCUGACUAGUUCUCUAUAGACAUAUGCUGAGGGAGUGGAUAACCUGGGGACCUAAAGCAACUUCUGAGGGGUCCAUUCCUCUGGCAUUUUUUUAUUUGUCUGGGUGUACUACUUUCUGUCCUUUUGAGCUUUCUGGAUUUCUCAAAGAGGACUAUCUUGCACAGUCUUACUAAUCAUAUAAUCAUAUGGUCUAUGUUGAACUGGGAUGUGGAAGAUACUCCAAGGCAUAUACUUCUCCCAGUUAAACUGAUGACUGUUUCAGUUGACAGUCCUGUUUAACUGAGCUCUGAGGUUGGAAUUAAUGAUUAUAAGGAGCUUGUUUUUGUUCAGAAUUGGUUUUGAGAUGUGAAUGUAACAUCUUUCAUUCCUUGGAGUAUGUCUGGAGUUUCUCUGUUUAUAUCAUAGGACACACUGGUAGUGUUAAUUUUUAUCUGGAAAAGUAAUUAUUGUUUCCUUUGGCUGAAAUUGAACUGAUAGAAAUUACUGCUUGUAAUGUCAUGCAAUUACUAAUUGCUAGGGUAAAUGAUGAGAUGCAGGACAAAAAAACCAUAGAAUCAAAUUGCUUAAUCACAAAUAAUGAAGAAAUGUCAUCACAGGAACAGAAAUGGAUGCUUUGUAUUUUUAUUGUCUGUAGCUUGCACAAGAGUCACUGUUAUUUCAGGCAGUUACCUCUAGAUAUGCAUGGAUGGAGUUUUGCAGGUGACUGAAAUUGCUUUCCCCCUCACCAAAGUGUACAGUAAUUGUGAGAGUAAGCAAAGCAUUAAGCUGUGAAUUGAUAGCUAGAGACACAGCUGCCAAAACACAAAUGUUUUGUGUCCAAAAUAAGUAUGUGCUUAUACAAUAUGUGCCUAUGUAUAUCUUCAAGUGUAUUUCUACAACUUUACAGAGUAUUUUCUGUGAUUUGCUACAGCUAUGAACCAGCUAUAUAUGGCCGUAGGAAUGACUCUUCAUAUAAAUUAUUUUGUGUGCUAUUGUCUUUUCUGUAUCUGCUACCAUUUAGGAGCUGUGUAUGCUAGGAAUAGUUUUCUGAAAGUGCUGAGUAUCUUUAAUUCUUAUUAGAAAAGUUGAUCCAGAGGAGUUGGGCAACCUCUGAGCUCAAAUGGAAGUAUAUGUGCAACUAUAAACAUUCAAAUAAAAUAGGAAGACAACUC
ensembl:lncRNA